rnacentral:rRNA from 1 species
UCAAAGAUUAAGCCAUGCAUGUCUAAGUAUAAGCAACUAUACGGUGAAACUGCGAAUGGCUCAUUAAAUCAGUUAUCGUUUAUUUGAUAGUACCUUACUACAUGGAUAACCGUGGUAAUUCUAGAGCUAAUACAUGCUAAAAACCUCGACUUCGGAAGGGGUGUAUUUAUUAGAUAAAAAACCAAUGCCCUUCGGGGCUCCUUGGUGAAUCAUAAUAACUUAACGAAUCGCAUGGCCUUGCGCCGGCGAUGGUUCAUUCAAAUUUCUGCCCUAUCAACUUUCGAUGUUUGGGUAUUGGCCAAACAUGGUCGCAACGGGUAACGGAGGGUUAGGGCUCGACCCCGGAGAAGGAGCCUGAGAAACGGCUACUACAUCNNAAGGAAGGCAGCAGGCGCGCAAAUNACCCAAAUCCCGAUUNGGGGAGGUAGUGACAAUAAAUACUGAUACAGGGCUCUUDUGGGUCUNGUAAUUGGAAUGAGUACAAUUUAAAUCUCUUAACGAGGAACAAUU